rnacentral:rRNA from 1 species
AGUGAACGCUGGCGGUAUGCCUAACACAUGCAAGUCGAACGGCAGCACAGUAAGUGCUUGCUCUUACGGGUGGCGAGUGGCGGUCGGUUGAGGAAUACAGCGGAAUCUACUUUUUCGCUGGGGCUUACGUAGGGAAACUUACGCGAAUACCGGAUUCGACCUACGGGUGAAAGCAGGGGAUCUUCUGACCUUGCGCGAAUCAAUGACGCGAUGUCAGAUUAGCUAGUUGGCGGGGUAAAGCCGCACCAAGGCGACGAUCCGUAGCUGGUCUGAGAGGAUGAUCAGCCACCCUGGAACUGAGACACAGUCCAGACUCCUACGGGAGGCAGCAGUGGGGAAUGUUAGACAAUGGGGGAAAGCCUGAUCCAGCAAUACCGAGUGGGUGAAGAAGGCCUUCGGGUUGUAAAGCCAUUUUGUUGGGCAAGACAAAAAGCAGGUUACUACCCCGCUGUUCUGACGGUACCCAAAGAAUAAGCACCGGCUAACUUCGUG